rnacentral:rRNA from 1 species
AUUGAACGCUGGCGGCAGGCUUAACACAUGCAAGUCGAGCGGGGGAAGGUAGCUUGCUACCGGACCUAGCGGCGGACGGGUGAGUAAUGCUUAGGAAUCUGCCUAUUAGUGGGGGACAACAUCUCGAAAGGGAUGCUAAUACCGCGUACGUCCUACGGGAGAAAGCAGGGGGUCUUCGGACCUUGCGCUAAUAGAUGAGCCUAAGUCGGAUUAGCUAGUUGGUGGGGUAAAGGCCUACCAAGGCGGCGAUCUGUAGCGGGUCUGAGAGGAUGAUCCGCCACACUGGGACUGAGACACGGCCCAGACUCCUACGGGAGGCAGCAGUGGGGAAUAUUGGACAAUGGGGGGAACCCUGAUCCAGCCAUGCCGCGUGUGUGAAGAAGGCCUUAUGGUUGUAAAGCACUUUAAGCGAGGAGGAGGCUACUCUAGUUAAUACCUAGGGAUAGUGGACGUUACUCGCAGAAUAAGCACCGGCUAACUCUGUGCCAGCCGCCGCAGUAA